UACGGGGGGGGGCAAGCGUUGUUCGGAAUUACUGGGCGUAAAGGGCUCGUAGGCGGCCAACUAAGUCAGACGUGAAAUCCCUCGGCUUAACCGGGGAACUGCGUCUGAUACUGGAUGGCUUGAAUCCGGGGAGAGGGAUGCGGAAUUCCAGGUGUAGCGGUGAAAUGCGUAGAUAUCUGGAGGAACACCGGUGGCGAAGGCGACAUCCUGGACCGGUAUUGACGCUGAGUGAGCGAAAAGCCAGGGGGAGCAAACGGG
rnacentral:rRNA from 1 species